rnacentral:rRNA from 1 species
UACGGAGGGGGCUAGCGUUGUUCGGAAUUACUGGGCGUAAAGCGCACGUAGGCGGCUUUGUAAGUUUGAGGUGAAAGCUCCGGGCUCAACCCGGAAACUGCCUUGAAAACUAUCCGGCUAGAGGGUUGGAGGGGAGACUGGAAUUCUCGGUGUAGCAGUGAAAUGCGUAGAUCUCGAGAGGAACACCAGUGGCGAAGGCGGGUCUCUGGACAACACCUGACGCUGAGGCACGAAAGCCAGGGGAGCAAACGGG